UGUGAAAUCAGACUGGAAAAACGG
rnacentral:piRNA from 1 species